UCUGUUAAUUGUACUCACCUGGUUUUUAUGUAGCUCAUCAGAUCUACGCUGUAUUAAAAUUCCUGGGUUCUGUUUCCUCUCUGCAUUCUAAGGUUGCUCAUGUCCCGGUUCCUGUGAUGAGUUUUUUCAAGUUCUUGGCAGAGAAGACCAGACAUAGUCCACCAGUCGGAGGACUAUGCGGAGCAGCAAUCGCCACAUAGGCGCCAUUGGCAGAGCCCACUGUUCGCCUCAAGCUGUUGCUGUUGCCUCAACCACAACCACUACCAGGUUCAUUGCUGUGCAUUUGGAACAUGUGCUACACUGGCACAUGAAUACAUUUAACAGGAAGUCAGUGCUAAUAGCUUCCAAGUGCUUCAGAAGGACACAUGUUGUGACAAUCACCCAGGGGCAUGAGGAAGUGGGUGACUGGAAGCACAAUACCCAGAAUGGCCUGAUAAACAUUUUGGAUGGAGAAAAAACCAAGUGUCUGCCGGAUGCGCAUUUGAAGUCUGCUUGUAUUGUUUUUUUGUGUCGUUUUUUUGGCAGAUAAAAGAGACAGGUGCCUUUUGUUGUUGGCGGUUACAGGAAUGUGAGAAAAGAAGCUUCCAUUUUGUGUCAUUAUAUCCUCUUUCAUAUUGGUUCCCACUGCAGAAUACAUCUACAGUAUUUACAGGAAAGGCAAAGCUCCAUUACCUGCACGUUUUAUGUUACCUUGAGGUAGUGGGGGUUAAAGAGACUAAUGGCUUCUGAUGAAAUGGAGCAACACUUAAACCUCAGAAACCAAGGGUCUUUGAUCAUUUAACCUGAUCUUCUUAUAUUUAAUGGCAAGACCCAAGGAAGAAGCAUGGGAACAGUCUACAACUCCUUUGAUGUGCACUCAGGUCAUGCACUUUCAGCAGAGGAAACAUCCAAAGGUUAUACUGUAAAUCAUGAAACCAAAAGGUUUGUGAGAGCUUUACAGCAACACAAACAGGUUGAUCCACUUAAGAUUGUGCUGUUUUAGGAAAUAAUUUUCUGCUCAAUGUUAAACUUUCUCACACAUUUUUUUUUUUGCUAUCAAUAAGUGAUUUCCCUCAGUUCUGUUUUCCAACCUUCUUGGCCUGCAGAUCAUAAAUAGAAAACUAGUAAUGGUGCAUUUACCCUGCAUGAAGUAGCCAUCAGAAAAUGGUUACAUUGUGGUCAGAAAAGGGAAUGGAUAGUCGGCAACAAAAUUCAGGUAUGAUGUAAUGUUUUCAAAUUAUGCUAUUCUGAUACUGGGGGACCCAAAGUGUGUCAUGAUUCUCCACCACCAGCCUUUAGAACAAGGCAGGAUGAAUCCAUGUUUUCAAAUUGUUUACACCAAAAUCUGAGCCUACCACAUGAACGCCACUGAAAAACGUCUAGUCGCAUACGCCUCGAUUUUAGCUGUCUAUUACUGUCCAGAUUUAGUGUGCUUGUGCGUACUGCAACCAGUUUCUUGUGCUAAGCUGACAGGGAUGGAACGCUGUGUGGUCUUUUGGUGCAGGAGUCAGUCUGCUUCAAGGAUUGAUGCAUUGUACAUGCAGAAGUACUAUUCUGCUUACUUUGAUUAUGCCAUUACCUUUCUACCUUCUUAAACCAGUGUCCCUUUUCACCUUUGACUUUUUACAUAAACAAGGUUUUUUUUUUUUUUUUUUUCCACACAACCUCUGCUGCUCAUUUGAUAUUUUCUUUUUGAGCCCCUUCUGAACAAUUCUCUGUAGAUCUGAGAGAAAAUUGUGUGUAAAAAUCCCAUUGGCUCACUCCCAGCUCGCUUUCAACCUUAGUAAGCUGUCUUCACCAAAUCUAAACGCCUAAUAAGAUGCUGCUAUAUGAAUGCUGAUUUGCUAUUGGUGUUAUUAAGAAAAGGAGCAGACUAAUAAAUAUGCUGGUGACUGUAAAUUCCAACUAGAAUAACUUCUUAAGAGCACUUAAUGCAAAUGCAGAAAAGAACUUCAAUGGAGGUAACUGAAAUAAAAAUAAAAUUUCAUUACUUUUAACAUUUGUCUCCAUUUUUUAUAAGAACACCUUCCCUCUUCUAACAUGUGGGUCCAAUCACAGCAGAUUUUUAUGUCAGAAUGACAUGAAGGGAAAGUGUUAUCAGAUCACCCUAAUGUGCAAACAUUUACUAUUAAAUUAUCUUUGCUAGUGAUACUUGAAAAUUGAACUCUCUCUCCUCUAACAGGUGCCAGUGUUCCCAGAUGACCAGUAUAAACUGGCAGCAACUCUACAUUUUCUCCGGCAAUCUAUUUAACAUCUGAGCUAAACUGUUGCCUACAUGGUAGUGGGAGGAAAGAAAGAUAUAUAUAUAUAUUUUUUGUCCGAGGCUAAAGCAGACAAAAACAAUCUGUGGUUGUAUUUAAUGAUGACAGUUUCCCUUUUAUUUGCGCUGAAAAAUGGCAGCUGCUGUUUAAAGUGGUCUUUGAUGUAACCCAGCCCUUUCUGCCUUAUACGAUUAAAUUUAAGUCUGAGAUCCAA